GGCUUACCAUGCAAGUCGCGCGUGAAAGGACUUCGGUCCGAGUAAAGCGGCGCACGGGUGAGUAACGCGUGGAUGAUCUACCCAUGAGUUAGGAAUAACGGCUGGAAACGGUCGCUAAUACCGAAUACGCUCCGAUUUCAACUUCGGGGGAAAGGUGGCCUCUGCUUGCAAGCUACUGCUCAUGGAUGAGUCCGCGUCCCAUUAGCUAGUUGGUGGGGUAACGGCCCACCAAGGCGACGAUGGGUAGCCGGUCUGAGAGGAUGACCGGCCACACUGGGACUGGAACACGGCCCAGACUCCUACGGGAGGCAGCAGUGGGGAAUAUUGCGCAAUGGGCGAAAGCCUGACGCAGCGACGCCGCGUGAGGGAUGAAGGUCCUCGGAUCGUAAACCUCUGUCAGGAGGGAAGAACCGCCACGGUGCUAAUCAGCCGUGGUCUGACGGUACCUCCAAAGGAAGCACCGGCUAACUCCGUGCCAGCAGCCGCGGUAAUACGGAGGGUGCGAGCGUUAAUCGGAAUCACUGGGCGUAAAGCGCACGUAGGCUGCUUGGUAAGUCAGGGGUGAAAGCCCGCGGCUCAACCGCGGAAUUGCCUUUGAUACUGCCGAGCUAGAGUCCGGGAGAGGGUAGUGGAAUUCCAGGUGUAGGAGUGAAAUCCGUAGAGAUCUGGAGGAACAUCAGUGGCGAAGGCGACUACCUGGACCGGUACUGACGCUGAGGUGCGAAAGCGUGGGGAGCAAACAGGAUUUAAU
rnacentral:rRNA from 1 species